GGCCCUAGGGUCGUAAAGCUCUGUCUUUGGGGACGAAUGUGACGGUACCCAAGGAGGAAGCCCCGGCUAACUACGUGCCAGCAGCCGCGGUAAUACGUAGGGGGCGAGCGUUGUCCGGAAUCAUUGGGCGUAAAGGGCGAGUAGGCGGCUAUGCAAGUCGGGUGUGAAACCUCGGGGCUCAACCCCGAGCUGGCAUCCGAAACUGCAAGGCUUGAGGACAGAAGAGGAGAGCGGAAUUCCCGGUGUAGCGGUGAAAUGCGUAGAUAUCGGGGGGAACACCAGUGGCGAAGGCGGCUCUCUGGUCUGCACCUGACGCUGAGUCGCGAAAGCUAGGGGAGCAAACGGGAUUAGAUACCCCGGUAGUCUUAGCCGUAAACGAUGGUUACUAGGUGUGGUAGGUAUCGACCCCUUCCGUGCCGGAGUUAACGCAUUAAGUAACCAGCUGGGUGG
rnacentral:rRNA from 1 species